UACGUAGGUGACCAGCGUUGUCCGGAUUUACUGGGCGUAAAGAGCGCGCAGGCGGUCGUUCAAGUCGAGUGCGAAAGCCCCCGGCUCAACUGGGGAGGGUCAUUCGAUACUGAUCGACUCGAAGGCAGGAGAGGGAAGUGGAAUUCCCGGUGUAGUGGUGAAAUGCGUAGAUAUCGGGAGGAACACCAGUGGCGAAGGCGGCGAUCUGGACAGAUAUUGACGCUGAUGUGCGAAAGCGUGGGGAGCAAACAGG
rnacentral:rRNA from 1 species